UGGGGAAUAUUGGACAAUGGGCGAAAGCCUGAUCCAGCCAUGCCGCGUGUGUGAAGAAGGUCUUCGGAUUGUAAAGCACUUUAAGUUGGGAGGAAGGGCAGUAAGCGAAUACCUUGCUGUUUUGACGUUACCGACAGAAUAAGCACCGGCUAACUCUGUGCCAGCAGCCGCGGUAAUACAGAGGGUGCAAGCGUUAAUCGGAAUUACUGGGCGUAAAGCGCGCGUAGGUGGUUCGUUAAGUUGAAUGUGAAAGCCCCGGGCUCAACCUGGGAACUGCAUCGAAAACGGGCGAGCUAGAGUAGGGCAGAGGGUGGUGGAAUUUCCUGUGUAGCGGUGAAAUGCGUAGAUAUAGGAAGGAACACCAGUGGCGAAGGCGACCACCUGGGCUCAUACUGACACUGAGGUGCGAAAGCGUGGGGAGCAAACAGG
rnacentral:rRNA from 1 species